GUCAGAGACAGCGGGUGAGGAGGUCGCCAGCAGUGUGGUGGUAGUGACGGUGUAGCGCCGGUGGGGUGUCCAAAAUUUCAGUUAAAGAUAAUCAAUAUAAACCUUACUGUGAACUGUUGAACAUCACAGGUGAACUAAGAGAGUCAUCAGUGAACACCUGAGUGGUUAACAAUCUACCUGGUUCAACACUGGCUGAUUACCUACAGUAAACUAGAUGAUGUCACUGUCAAGAUGGUGAAGGACCAGCGGCAGGCUUGGUGACCAUGACGGUACUUCCUUGGUGACCUGGGAAUAUCUUGAUGACCUUUGGGAACAGCCUAGUGACCUCCUGGGAACAUCCUGGUGACCUCCUGGGAACAUCCUGGUGACCUCCUGGGAACAUCCUGGUGACCUCCUGGGAACAUCCUGGUCACCUCCUGGAAACUUCCUGGUGACCUCCUGGAAACUUCCUGGUGACCUCCUGGGAACAUCCUGGGAACAUCUUGGUGAACUCUGGGAACAUCCUGGUGACCUUCUGGGAAUAUCCUGGUGACCUCCUGGGAACAUCCUGGUGACCUCUGGGAACAUCCUGGUGACCUCCUACGAACAUCCUGGUGACCUCCUGGGAACAUCCUGGUGACUUCUGGGAACAUCCAGGUGACCUCCUGGGAACAUCCUGGUGACCUCCUGGGAACAUCCUGGUGACCUCCUGGGAACAUUCUGGUGACCUCUGGAAACAUCCUGGUGACCUCCUGGGAACAUCCUGGUGACCUCCCGGUGACCAGCUGAGGCCAGAUGACCAGACUCCUCCACCUAGUGUUACUCCGCCUCCUGUUAGCCUGGCGAGAGGCUCAGGCACUGCCCUACCAGUGUUCCCGAGUCUACUGCGCCACCACCACUACACUGGUGGGCCCGGCUGAGGACCUGACUGUGUACCCAGCCCC